rnacentral:rRNA from 1 species
GUAGUCAUAUGCUUGUCUCAAAGAUUAAGCCAUGCAUGUCUAAGUAUAAGCAAUUAUACCGUGAAACUGCGAAUGGCUCAUUAAAUCAGUUAUCGUUUAUUUGAUAGUACCUUACUACGUGGAUAACCGUGGUAAUUCUAGAGCUAAUACAUGCUAAAAAUCCCGACCCCUGGAAGGGAUGUAUUUAUUAGAUAAAAAACCAAUGGCUCCGGCCUCCUUGGUGAUUCAUGAUAACUUCACGAAUCGCGUGGCCUUGCGCCGGCGAUGGUUCAUUCAAAUUUCUGCCCUAUCAACUUUCGAUGGUAGGAUAGUGGCCUACCAUGGUUUCAACGGGUAACGGGGAAU